CUCGCGCAGCUUCCCUACAGAUUGCGUAAACUUUUGAACCCGCAGUUACAUUCACCGUUAUUUUUGUCAGGACCAGCCGAUAAGUUCCUGACGCGUGUUCGUUCAUGAACUGCGGAGCGCCAGACUGCCUUCCACAUCGUCUUUGCUCACGUGCCGAAAGGGGCAGAGGAAAACGCAGCCGCCCAAAAGGCCACCACGAAACUCCUGAACUCCAAGAACCCAGUAAGAAGACCUGCUGAAGUAAGGAGCUACAGCCCAGCAGCCUGUUCGAAACCAGGUUUAUGAAGCUCGAUACCUGUAAUGGACGUUACUCGGCGGCACUCACAUUUAAUGUUGAUCGCUAGCUUGUCUAGUCGUCGUGUUUAC